ensembl:snRNA U6 U6 spliceosomal RNA
CUGCUCACUUCAGCAACACCUAUCCUAAAAUUGGAACGACACAGAGAUUAGCGUGGCCUCUGCACGAGGAUGGCACAAAAAUUCAUAAAGUGUUCUGUAUUUUU